UAUUCUUCCUUGUAUUGUCAGAAUCUGAAGUAUUUGACCAUUUGUAGCCACUUCUAUCAUGUGUCGUAUCCUUCCUCUAUUUCAAGUUGGUUGUUGUUUUAAACAUGUCAAUGAAAGACAAUAAUGUUAAAUUGGUUCCCUAAAGGCCAAGGCGGUGAUGAACACUUUGUGCUUCUUUUCCUAUUCGUUAAAAAAUGAUUCCUCUGGGUGAUGUUGACGUAGGUUUUUAUGGUCAUGUCAACUGGUACUCCAACUGGCACUGAGACUGAGGUAAUGGUGUGGGAAUUGGGGCUGCAAGGACGUGAAAAUGGCCUAGAAGAGAGUUAGCAAUGGCAUGCGUCCUCAAGUAAUUUCUUGCCAAUGGUAUGCUGCAGAUAUGAUCUGUCCUGUUAAAUUUUGUUUUAUGUAACUGUGAUGGGAUGUGUAUCUUGAUCUUCUUUUGUUACUGUAGUGCACAUCUUUAGGCAUUACCUUGUGAUCACUAACAUGUGAUUUGUUUACCUUUCUAAUCUGUUAAUAGGGAAAUAAAUUUUCAUUUAUGUAUUUUUUCUAAUAACAAAAAUAAUUGAUCAGGCCAGAGGUUUGGAAACCAUGUACUGAAGUACUAGAUAAGAAUAAAAAAACCAAUAUUCUGCACAUUUCCUGGACAAGCCAUUUUGGGAUACUUAUUUUGGCUAUAUAGGUCACUGUAUCAUGUGACCCCAACCCUUUAUCACUAGCAAAAGAAGAUGAGUAAGUUUCAGUAUAGUCCAAGUAGGCCACCCCACUGUUAUUGGUUUUCAUGGUCUUUUGACAUGUAAAGACUUAGAUUGUAUCUGGCAUGGUUUACAAGUUAAAACCGUGACAUGAUGCUUUCUUGGUGUUUUGAAGUGACACAUGAUAAUAGGAACUGCUGAUAUUCCAUGUUAUAAUAUUGCACGUGUCUACUUGCUAGAACUCUUUUUCUUUUCUUUCUUUUGAUUAGAUACAUAUGCUGUGUGUAACAUGUCUGAUCAACUGAUCUAAUUUGACAUGCAAAUGAUUCAGCAGAGCAAGACAAAAAAACCUAUUGUUGCAUUCAUAGUUGGACUUACUGCACCCCCGCUCCGUCGCAUGGGCCAUGCUGGAGGUGUUCACAUAUGACAACAAGUUCACUAUUUGUUUCAUUCGUCAAUUGUAAAAUCGGUGGGCGCAUUAAGUUGAACUAUGAUCCUGUCUUGGUAUAUGGAAACAAGAUACCGGCAGUUUUUACGUUUCCAGAUUGUUUAUUACUCCCUUUGUAAAGAAAUAGAAGAGUGUUUAGAUCGCUACUAUAGUGAUCUAAACGCUCUUAUAUUUCUUUACGGAACUGCCACACACUCACACAGGUUCUUGGUACUCUCUGUAACCUGCAGAUGAUGGGUGGCGAAUCCGGAAACCACAGAUCCAUUCCCCUGCAUAAUUUUCGUUUUCUCAUUUGAUUUGGUACAAGGCCUACUCAGAAUGGGUUCCCUGAUCUCAAAAUUGUCAGUUUUCUUGCCUUUAGUUUAUAGGUACCUUAACAAAUACAUGUAUUUACCAUAUUGGCAGUCCGCACCAUAUGGCAUUCAUUCUUCAGGAUCUCAUAUUUGAGGUUAGCAAUUCGAAGUAAUGUGAGAGCUUGCAUGUUUAUAGUUCUAACUAGCUUUUAGUUUAGCGUAGGAUAAGUCUUUCAUGAAUUCUUAGUUGGCUGUUUAUUUUUGCUGGCUGUGCAUGACACUGCAAUUUUUUCAUAAUUUUCUUCAAAAGUUAACUAUUUUCUUAUCUGUAAUUAACUGGUUGUUGCUCCUAGCCGUUAGCAAGUCUGCCGUCCCUGGCCACCCUGUCAGUCAUCUAUACAACUGUGGUUCAUGCCUGCGUGCUAUCCACUCCUAAAUUCUCACACCAUGUCAGGUGUUUAGAAGUGAUGAUCAUUGUGGUCUUUAGUUGUCAUGCCUGUAAUCCUAGCGCAUGGGCUUUCGCGGGCUGGUCCAACCGGAGUUGGUUGAUGGCAGGGGCUGCGCUCCGGUGACCGUAUGGCUGAAGAAGGGAUGCAAAUGGAAAGAAUUUUGAGAUGCAUAAACUCCCGUCUUUGAAUCAGAAACAGAAAAUUGUUAGUUUUCUCGUUUCUUAGUUAUGCUACCCUGCUCCACGUAGGUUUUACAGUGAAAAGCUAAAGAAGUUGUGACGGCGAUAAAACGACUGAAAGAUUUGCUCGAAGCAAAGACAUCGAGCCGAGAUACAUAUGGUAAGAAUCUUCAGAGAUUGACUUCUUUUCUCCUGCUAUUGAGAUAUAUACUUGCUCAUAGGUCACAACUCAAGUUACUUCCUUACCUGCACAUACAGUAGUGAUAAAGUCGACAUAAUUUUUGUGAGAACCUAUUUUUUUAAUAUGACAACAUUCUACCUGCCCUCUGUUCUCUUUUAUGAUAUUUUUUGCUUUUCAUACAUUUUGUAGGAACGAAGAGGAGGGAUCUUUUGUAGAAUAUGCGACAUCCAUGGUGCUGAAGGUGUGCUAUUAAGUCUCAAUUGCUCUCCUGCAAAAUAGCAUCUUAAUAAACAAAGGUAAGGAAGUAACUGGCUAAGAUGCUAUUUUGGUCAUAGGUCACAACUCAAGUUACUUCCUUACCUGCACAUACAGUAGUGAUAAAGUCGACAUGAUUUUUGUGAGAGCCUAUUUUUUUAAUAUGACAACAUUCUACCUGCCCUCUAUUCUCUUUUAUGAUAUUUUUUGCUUUUCAUACAUUUUGUAGGAACAAAGAGGGAUCUUAUGUAGAAUAUGCGACAUCCAUGGUGCUGAAGGUGUGCUAUUAAGUCUCAGUUGCUCCUGCAAAAUAGCAUCUUAGUAAACAAAGGAUAUGCACCGCCAAGCAGUUUGUUUUGUAUUUUUUCCUUCCAACCUUAUUGAUAUGCAUGUUGCUCAAGGUGUUUUUACUUGUUUACCUGAUUAACAAAUUAAUAUAAAUUUAAAACACAGGUUAAUAAAUUUACCGCAGUCCUUGCUGAAAUCUGUAUUAUUAUGUGUUGACUUUCCUUUGAAUAAUAUAAGCUGGUCUUGUUGCCGCAAAUGAUUGGAUACGCUAAAUUCUUUUUCAUGCAUACAAGUUGAUUUGGUUAUCCUGUAAUACAUUAUUACGUUUAGUUAAAAAUUUAUGUUUUGUAAUUCAGAUAGGAAACAAUGGUAUGUGAUAAUGCCCUUGCUUCUGACAGAGCCUCUUUUUUUAGUCAUUCAUAGAUGUGUGGGAGGGCUGGUUGUCCACCAUUUGAUGAUAGUAGAACAGUUGUAAUUAUGACAAGAUGAGGGGCAGUAUUUUUUUCUAUGUUUUCCUCCCGUUAAUACUGAAAUACAUUUGACAGGAUUUUUUCAUGUUUUUGGUCUAACCCGCCGUAAGUUUGUCUCGUGGGUCCAUCUAUAUGAGAACCUUCUCAGUGGGUGUCAAAUGGAUUCGUCGCACGCCAAACAGAGCACCCGAGGAGAAGAGGAGAAUGCUCUGAAGAGAGGAAAUGAUAUGUUUUUUUUGUUUUGUUUUAAGAGCUAAGAUAGGAGUUGAUAUGUAGUCCCCUGACUUCUAUACUGAUCCACAACACUUCACAAAAGAGUAUAUAUCAACAUCGUAUGCUACAAAAAAAGCAAAGUAAUCUUUUUUAGUUCUUGGUUCAAA